GAUGAAGUGGUAUAGGGCUGUAGGCUACUAUUUUCACUGUUCCUCCUUUUUCUUUUUUUCUACAAAUGUUCCUCUUUUCUCCUUCUCUCUCUCUUAAUUAAUAUAAUAAAAAAACAAAACUUAUAAAUGUAACGUACAAAAUGGCAACUUUUCUCUACCUUCACCUUAAAAUCACCAAACCCCCCUAAAAUCAAACAAAUAAUCAACACCUCACUUCCCUAAAUUCACUCACAAAGAAGGAAAUACAUAUAGGGGCAACAAAAAUUUCCAAAAAAUAAUAUCCAACCCACUUCUCCAAUACUCAAUUUUUCAACAAUCCCAGAUAAUUAAAAACAUAAAAUAGCUCAUAUCCAACUGGAAAAAAAUCAAGAUAAUAUGACAUUCAAAGUCCCAAAAAAAGCUGAACAUUGAUUCAGAUCACAUGCUUUGUUGUCUUGAUUUUACAAAGCAAAAACUUGGAAGCACCAAACACUGUGGAAGGGAUGAAGAGAGGAUAGCAGGAACUGAAACGACACCGCAAGGACGCGUCUAGCGCUAAUUGAGCGGACGAAAACGAUGGCGUAUGAAGAAGUUAAGGGCAAAAAUUAUCAUGGGAAAAUUUUCAUCCAACCUUUAAACAACUCUUCAUCUUCUCCUCUUCUCAACAGAGAUAGUCCAAGUUCAAGUUUGUGUAGUCUCCUGUUGUUUAAAUUACAGAAUUUUGACUUCGUUGUGGUGGUUAGUUGCUCCGUAUUUCACUUGUCUCUCGAUGUGUGGUAGCACAUCACCAGAAAAUUUGUCUGCGACCGUCACGCCUGCUAGGGACCGUCGAAAGCAUCCACUGUGCCCAGGUAAGUUUUUCCAUUUUUCUAAAUUAGGGCAUCCAUGAUGGAUCAUCACACCUGUGAUGUACCAUCGACGGGGACUCAUCGCAUCAAUACCCGUAAACCCGACCCCACCCGACUGGAAAAUAUUAAAAGUUUUUAAACCUUUUAACUUCCCACCUCUUCAUUCUAAUCGUUUCUGUCCCUCACUUCCCCCAUUUACUCCCUCUUCAACUCCCUUACACUCUCUUCCUCUCCCCAAACCAUCAGAUUCCCCAUCCUUUCAAAAAUUCCCCUAAUAUUCCCUCUUCCAAUCUCCCUGCUUCUUCAAGUAAUCUGCCGGUCGGAGUCAAUUGUUCUCUGCUGAUCACCAGAGUUGUGUGCCUUACUUUGUUUUCAUCUUCUCAAAAUAUCAGGUACUAACAUUUAUGGCACCAAAGCUAGAUCGCGUGUACACAGAAGGGCAUUCAAAGUCUGUCGCACCAUCUGCCCGACUGGUCAUUGGCUCUGACAAUGAGCGUGACCCCGAAUACUUGCCCCCAGGCACUGUCACUCUUGCACGGGCUGCACGUACCACUAGAGCCACCCCCAUGAAGUUGGGGACCGGCGUAGCCACUGCCUCCCAGUCUGAAGAAGAGCGCAUACUUACUGACACUCCUUCUAGGUCUUCUACACACUCCAGCGAUGCUUUCGGUUGUGAGGAGGCUUCUGCUCCACACACUGCAUCACAGUACGCCUCGUCUGAUGAGGACGAUAGUGUUGAUUCCACUCCAGCACCACUGACUGGAGUCCCCGCCCCGAUUGCCGACAAUCCCAACCGGUGGUGUGUUGAGGGACAGUUUCAGGUGUACAUAGAGGCUAAGUUGCCGAAUGAUUAGGGGGUUAUGACCCGGACCCUUACACUGGAGAGACGGGUCCUUACGGGGAGUCUCCCCACCAUGCCGGCAAUCCAUGCCCUCUUCACCAGGCACCGGCUAGAAUAGACGGCUAGUGAUGUGGGACAAUACAGUAAGGAGUUGGUCAGAGAGUUCUACGCCUCGUAUGUGCUGACUCUCCGAUCCCAGAUAGACAAGUGGGCUGCCCCCGCCAAACAGGCCCCGCUAGAGCACAUCCGAGCCCAUGGCAAGCGGGUAGACAUCUCCUUGCCAGCCAUCCAUAGGUAUCUAUAUGGCGAGAAUGUUGAUGCCACCAGGAUUCCUCUCACCGCCGAGUUCGACUGCUAAUGGAACUGGUUAAAGAUGGACAUUUCUUGCGUGAGCCAGAGUUGAAAGAGACCACCAAGAGGUUGAUUGCCCGGUACUUGUCUGUUGAUGAAGAGGCUGCUGAUUGGGUACUUGAGCCGAAGGGAGCCAUCAAGAAGGCUAACCUGACCUUCACGGCCAAGUUUUUCUGGUUGAUAGUCUGCCACUUCCUUUCCCCCACUGCUGCAAACAAUAUUGUGACUUGGGAUCGCGCAGUUCUGAUUGCAGCGAUGAUAGCAGGGUUCGAUGUGGACUUUGGUUGGCUUCUUCAGGAGGUCAUGCACGAGAGGGCCUUCAAGGUCACUACUACUUACCCAUUUUAGUGCAUGGUGUUUCCUUUGUGCAGGUCCGCAGUUGUGCCUACUUGGCACAUCGAUUAGAUCAAGACCCCACCGGGCACUGUUGAUAUAGGCCUUAUCAGGGAUGAGGCCAAUGAGUUGGUUUCCACACAGAGGGCCGCGACCGAAGUACCUCCGCUUGGUUAGAAGUUGGUAGACACUGUAGAGCAAGCCCAAGCAGCUACCCAAGCUACUUCUGAGCCUAUUGACACCACCCCGGUUGAGUCUAACCCGGGUGGUAGCACCGCUCCGAGAUCCUCUUUCUCGACUCCCUCCGCCACUCUGGUCCCACUUGCUAGGGUCCAGAAACUUGAGGCCCAAAUGGCCACUCUUCUACAUCACAUCCAACCUUGGAUGCAAAGGUCUAUUACUGAGGCGGAGGAGCGCAUGGAGCAGAAGAUGGCCCAAUACAGAGAGAGGAAGAUCAUGGAGGUUCAUCAGCGCCUGGACGCUUUUGAGUUGCGUGUGCUAGCCUGUUCAUCCCUCCAGUGGACGUGUUGACCCUUCAGGCUGCUGUAGAGAGUCUGAGAGUGGACCCGGACAUGAUUCUAAAGGCUAGGGUGCCCGAGUCUGAGACCCCUUCUGCAGAGCCCGCCGAGGAUACUAUUUUGGCGGCCCUAUUCUCCACUGCUGCAGUGCCACAACCUCCACCACGAGAGCAUGCCAAGAGUCGUAGAGGUCGGAAUGAGGAUGAGGCUAGGGCACAGAAGAGGGAGUGACGAGAGUUGGAGGCUGUGAGGAGAGCCUCGAUUGCUGAUAAGGAGGCCCGUCAGUUAAGGGCGAUUGAGUUGGCUACUGGGGCGUCUAGCUCCAGAGUUAUUGAGGUAGAUAAGAGCACUACUGAUGGUGCUGUGAUUGUUGAGAGAGGCACUACUGAGGGUGUUGUCUAUGAUGAGGACACUACUGAGGGUGUCCAGACUA